UCAGCCUUCCCGCCCAGCUCCCGGCCGUUUCCGGGUCGGCCCCUACCCCGGCCAGACACACCUCCAGUCUCAGCGUUUGGGUGCGUUUGAUUCGGCUGGUGUCCGGGGAGCCGGGCUGCUUCCUCGGGGCUUCAAGUUAAAUGUUUCGGACAACUCCAGCAGGUCAAGGAAUACUUCCCUGGGUCUCUUCAGAUGGAAAAAGAGAUUCCUGGUCCCUGAAGAGCUGUUAUAAAGUGAGCAGGGCCUCACUAAGAUCAAUGGAAUCCUCAUCUGGAACUCACCUACUCACAGCAGUGGUGAUAGCGGUACUCCUGCCUCAUCACUGUGUCAUGAAUUUUGAAACAAAAACAACAGAAACAGAGUGUCGUGGGUCUUAAUUUCUGGCGAUUGAAAGUCUAGAGAAGCACAGAAAAACUUCUUUCUGGAAUCCUCUGAUGACCACAAGAGUCAAAGAAGUUUAAGAUCUAAUAUAGAUAGCAACCUGAUAUUUGAAUCACCUGAGGGUUAAUAAAUGUUCUUUGAUCUGCAAAUAAAGGGGUCAUGAAGGUUUUGUUAAAAUAGUAUUGAUGCUAGGCUCAUCCUCAGAACAACUGAAAUAAUUUCUGGAGUGAUGGUAUUUCUUACAAUACCUAAGGUUUUCCAAUGGGAAAGCAAUGUUGAGAAUUAUUUAAGUAAAUAUUGCUUUUUAAGCUCUAAUAUACAGGUAAAUCUCUUGGAGAUCAGGGGUUCAACAGUAGGAAAUUAUGAUUCAAGAAGUUUGGGAGGGACUGAUGAAAUUUUAUUUUAUUUUAUAAAUUUAUUUAUUUAUUUUUGGCUGCGUUGGGUCUUCAUUGCUGCAUGAGGGCUUUCUCUAGUUGUGGCGAGCAGGGGCUACUCUGUUGUGGUGCCGGCUUCUCCUUGUGGUGGCUUCUCUUG